rnacentral:rRNA from 1 species
UAGUCCACGCCGUAAACGAUGAGUGCUAGGUGUUGCGGGUAUUGACCCCUGCAGCGCCGUAGUUAACGCGUUAAGCACUCCGCCUGGGGAGUACGGCCGCAAGGCUAAAACUCAAAGGAAUUGACGGGGGCCCGCGCAAGCGGUGGAGCAUGUGGUUUAAUUCGAUGCAACGCGAAGAACCUUACCAGAGCUUGACAUGUCGCAAAUUUUUACGAAAGUUUAAAGUGCCUUAGGGAAUGCGAACACAGGUGGUGUAUGGCUGUCGUCAGCUCGUGUCGUGAGAUGUUGGGUUAAGUCCCGCAACGAGCGCAACCCUUGUCUUUAGUUGCAUCGGUUCGGCCGGGCACUCUAGGGGAACUGCCGGUGACAAGCCGGAGGAAGGCGGGGAUGACGUCAAGUCCUCAUGGCCCUUGUGUCCAGGGCUACACACGUGUUACAAUGGACGGUACAAAGGGCAGCUACCUGGUGACAGGAUGCUAAUCUCUAAAGCCGUUCUCAGUUCGGAUCGAAGUCUGCAACCCGACUUCG